AAAGCUCGUUUGAUUCUG
rnacentral:snRNA from 1 species